rnacentral:misc_RNA from 1 species
GACAGUGCAGUAAAUCUUGCUGAGGCAAAGGCUGCAAUGCAAACAGGAUUGCGGAAAGGAAAUGCCAGGGAAAGGUCUGCUCUAAACAAGCUCAACUACGAUGGGCAUGAAAAUAGAAGAAGAGAGCAGAUGACAAGCAGCUCCGAUUCAUCCAGAAGUUCUCGUGACUACUAUGAUGCACAAAGAGUAUUUCCAAGAUCCCGCCAAGCAAGUGAAGAUGAAGAAAGUUCAAGAAUAGCUUCAUCAUCAGCACCU